rnacentral:lncRNA from 1 species
UUUAUAGUCAGGGGUGUGGAAAUGCUAUGCCCGACUCGCCCGACUCGUACAUUUGAACAACCGGACAAGUAAUUAUUUUUGUCUUGGUUGCCCGUGGACGAGUAAAAAAAUAUACAAGACAAAGUUCAAAUCCAACAAAAACAAAAAAAUUAAUUUCAAAACGUAUAAAGAUGUUUAAUUUAUGUAAAAGAAACCAAUGUUCAGCAAGUAAAAACAUCAAUGUUCAUGACGAUAAAUUUACAUAAUAAAAAGGUGGGCAAGCAAGACAAAAAGAGUCAUGAGUCGAGUAGAAAACCUUAAAUGCAAAUGGAGGACACAGCUAGAGUAUUUAAAAAAAAGAAAGCGAGAAUUUCAGACAUCGUGGAUAUCAGAUUGCCCCUGGCUAUCUAUGGAAAAUUCGGAAAAUAAAUUAAGUUUUUGUCCUACUUAUAGAUGAAAUGUCAACAUUAUUUGUUGUCAAGUGGAAAAUAAAAGGGAUGCAUUAAUUGCCCAUCAGGACAAUGAUAAAUAAUCAAGAAAACAAGUGUGUCAGUUGAGAGAAACACCACAAAAUCAUGCAAUAGUUAUUAUUUAGUUUACAUUUCUUCAAUCACUGUCCUCACAUUUAGUAUAUGUACGUAUACCUACUGGCUACAAUUUUUAUUCAAAAACUGCUGCAAAAUUGUCCUUUACAUGUCAUUACAUUGGUUGGUUUGACGUUAGGUUUCUGUCCCAUUGAUGUCAACCCAUUUCCUACUUUCCUAAUGUUUUACACAUAUAAACAAAUAUAUUUCAUUUGUGAUGCACAACAGUGCUAAGUAAGAAUCAUAUAUUAGCUAACAAGAAAUACUUCAAUAUUUAUUGGGAUCAUCAGGGCAAGUAAAUUUUUUUCCGGACAAGUAAAAUUUUAGGUUUCACUUGCCCGUGGACAAGUGCUCACAACAAAUAUUUCCACACCCC